AAGUCGUAACAAGGUAACCGUAGGUGAACCUGCGGUUGGAUCAUUACUGCAAUCAUGCAAUUUUUGCGUGUCGGCCGGCAUGGGGCAACCCUUGCCUGGUAGACGCCAACACCUGUGCACAGUUUCUGUCUCUGGCGGCGGGAUGCGUGGGGGGGUCCGCGUGGCCCCUUUCCCAUCUGUCAGCCUCUCUCUUCUCUCUCUCGGGAGAGGGGAGGGCGGGCCGUGGACACGUCGCCAAUCUCUGCUCAGACUCGUUAGCUGAACUUCCUUUGUUGUAACAAACAAUCGAACAAACAAAAAACAACUUUUGGCAACGGAUCUCUUGGCUCUC
rnacentral:misc_RNA from 1 species